ACUCCAAAGAGAUACUUGCCAAAUAACUCAGUAUGACCAUCUACAAGUUACUGAUAAUUUCCUUUGUAUCCUGAGACUUAAAGGGUUUGAUUUUUAACAUGUGAUCAUAAAUACUAAAUAAGAUAAGUGAAAUCAUGGAGUUGCCGUCGUGGCUCAGUGGUUAAUGAAUCCGACUAGGAACCAUGAGGUUGCGGGUUCAAUCCCUGACCUUGCUCAGUGGGUUAAGGGUCCGGCGUUGCCAUGAGCUGUGGUGUAGGUCACAGAUACAGCUUGCAUACUGCGUUGCUGUGGCUGUGGUGUAGGCCAGUGGCUACAGCUCUGACUGGAUCCCUAGCCUGGGAACCUCCAUAUGCCACGGGAGUGGCCCAAGAAAUGGCAAAAAAACAAAAAAAUAAAAUAAAAUAAAAUAAAAAAGCAUAAAUGAAAUCAUGUAUGUUCUGUGUAUAGGCAUGCUUUUCUUACAAGGAAAUUCAAGAGUGUUUAGUAUGAGGAAAUACCAGUAAGUAUUUACUUAUUGGUCCCUAAAUCUGAAACAGAGAGCUAGAGUAUGCUGGAGGGAACAGAUUAAAGACACUUCAUAUAGCUCUAAAGGCAAAUAACAGAAAUCAGGGUGAGAGGGUUAGGGAGCUCCUCUUCAACUGUGGAUGCUACUUAAACAGAUAAAGGAUUUUAGUGAAAAGUAGGAGAUGAAUGCCCUCAGUGUCCAGAUACGCAUAAGAUAAUUUCCAGCUGUCCAGAAUUCUUUUUCUUUUUAAAAAAAUUAAUUUUUAUUUUACAUUGGAGUAUAGUUGCUUUAGUUUUGUAUUAAUUUCUGCUAUAUAAAAAAAUUUCUGCUUUACAGCAAAGUGAUUCAGUUAUAUAUAUAUGUAUAUCCAUUCUUUUUCAGAUUCUUUUCCCAUAUAGGUUAUUACAGAAUAUUGCAUAGAGUUCCCCAUGCUAUACAGUAGGUCCUUGUUGAUCAUCUGUUUUAUUUAAAAAAUUUUUUUAUUUCUUGGGCAUGCCUGCUGCAUGUGGAAGUUCCUGGGCCAGGAUCCUACCUGCACCAUAGCAGUAACUCAAGCCACUGCAGUGACAAAACCUGAUCCUUAACCUCUGGGGACUCCCUCUGUUUUAUAUAUAGUAGUGUGAAUCUGUUAAUCACACACUAAAUUAUUUAUUUUUUACUCUAUAAAGCAAUUCCUUCAAUGCUGAUAUCUAUUCCCAGAAGUUAUCUCACACAAGUAAAACAACUAUUGUCUAAGAGAGACACUGGUGGAAAAGGACAGUAGUUAUUUAAAUAGCUGUGAAUGGUAUUAGAGAACUGGCAGUUGAUGAAGACAUGGUCUUAAGUAUAAAGAAUGAGAAUGGGCUUGCACAGGGAAUAAUUCUAAAUAAAGGCUUAAGAAUUUCCUUAUUUCUCUUUAAAAAUUUAGAGGCCAUAUGGACAAAAUUUACAUACUCGUGUACAAAAUAGGUAAUUUUCCCUUCUUGUAGUAUUUAUUUAUUUAUUUUAAUUAAAAAAUUUUUUUUGGCUGCCCCACAGUAUGUGGAGUUCCUGG
rnacentral:lncRNA from 1 species